CAUUUUAUAAAAUAUUGAGGAACUUAAUGUCCCUCUUGAAGAUAUUCUUGUAUUCAAGCCUUAUCUGAGUGAGUAAUUGAGGCAAUCUAUUGAGAGCCCCAGUAUAUUGGAUCACUUUUCAAAGUGUUCAGACACCUCCAUCUGGGAACUGUUUCUCUCUAUGCCUGUCAAUAUUAGAUUAGUUUUAUCUUUUUAGGGUUUCAUGCAAAAGGAAUCAUACAGUGUAUUUUUGUGUGGCUUUUUUUUUCACUCAGGAUAAUGAUUUUGAGAUUCAUCCUAUAGUUGUAAUUUUUUGAAGAAAUAAUGUCCAAAACUUCCCAAAGUUGAUGAAACAAUGUUAAUUUACACAUCCAAGAAGCUUACUGAACUCCAAGUAGGAUAAAUACAAAGAUAUAGUUUUACCUAGACACAUCAUAGUCAAACUGUUGGAAGCCACACACAAAGAAAAAAUCUUAAAAGAAGAAAGAGAAAAACAACUGAACAUGUACAGGAGAGCAUCAACAUAAAUAAUAUCUAACUGCUCAUCAGAGAAGAUAGACCCUAGAAGGCAGAGAAAUGGCAUAUUCAAAAUACUGAAAGAAAAAAUGGUAACGAAGAAUUUUUUUAUCCAGCAAGACUAUCCACUAAUUAUAAAGGUGAAAUAAGGACAUUCUUAAAUUUAAAAAGACUGGAAGAAUUUCUUGAUAUCAGAACUGAAUUGUGAGAAAUACUAAAGGAAAUUCUUUGGGCUGGAAGAAAAUGACAUCAGACAGUACCUCGAAUCAGCUGGAAGAAAUUAAGAGAGCUAGAAGUAAUAAAUUUCUGGGUUUUAAAAAAAAGAAUCUAUAAAUAUAUUUUCUCAUUUCUUCUGUUAAAUUCUUUAAAGGACAUGAGAUUGUACAAAGAAAUAAUUGUAACAUUGUGGUAUUGGUUUGGUAACAUAUAUAGAUAUAAUAUAUAUAAAAAUAAUAGCACAAGAGGGGAAAGUAAUAGAGUUACAUUGGAGGAAACAUUCUAUAUUUCAUAGGAAUUAAGUUAAUAUUCGUUUGAAAUAGACCAUAGUCAGUUAAAAUGCAUAUUGGAAUCCCUAGCACAGACACUAGGAAAAUAGCUCAAAAACAGUAAAAAAUGUUCAAUAGAGGAAUUAAAAUGAUGUACUGAAAGAUUUAUUUAGCACAAAAGAAGUUAAUAAAGGAAGGACAGAGAACAAAAAAGCCUGAAGACAUAGAAAACAAAUAGCAAAAUGGCAAAUGUAACUCUGAUCCUAUCAAUAACUGCACUAAAUGUGAAUGGUCUAAAGAAAACCAAUUAGAAGACAAAGAUUGGGAAAAUGAAUAAUAAAGCAAGAUCCAACUAUAUGUGAUCUACAAAAGACACAUCUUAGAUUAAAAGACAAACAGAAGUUGAAACUAGAAGGAUGGAAAAGACACAUCAUACAAAUAGUUACCAAAAGAUUGCUAGAGGGUUGUAUUAAUACUGGACAAUGCAGACUUUAAAACAAGAAAUAUUAUUAGAAGCAAAGAGGGACAUAUCCAAAUGACAAAAUGUCAAUACAUCAGAAAGAUAUAAAAAUUAUCAAUGCUUACAAAUGUAACAACAGAGCUUCAAGAUACGUGAAGUAAAAUUUGACAGAAAUGAAAGGAGAAAGAGACAAUUCAACAACAAUACUUGGAAAUUUCAAAUGCCUCCUGUCCAUAAUGGAUUAAAAAGAGGAAAGACAAUCAGCAAGGUUAUAAAAGACUUGACCAGCACUAUCAACCAAAUUAAAUUAAGUGACGUGUAUAGAUCACUGCACUCAAUGACUACAAAAUACACAUUCUCUUCAAUAGCACAUGGAACAUGCUUCAGGAUAGACCGUGUACUCAGCCAUAAAAUAAAUUCAACAGAUUUAGCAAGAAUGAAAUAAUAUAAAAUAUGUUCUCCAACCACAAUGGAAUGUGAGCUAUCAAGAAUGGAAUAUAUCUGGGAUAUCCACAAACAUUUGGAACUUAAAUGACAUCCAUCUGAAUAACACAUGAGUCAAAGAAUAAAUUGGGAACAAAAUUUGAAAGUACUUUGAAGUGAAUGAAAAUUUAAAAAAUAGAAUAUCAAAGUCUAUGGGAUGUGCCUAAAGCAGUACUUAAAGAGAAAUUUAUAGUAUUAAACACCUAUAGUGGAAGAGAGGAAAGUCUCAAAUCAAUAAUUUAAGUUCCCACCCUAAGAAAGGAAAGAAAGGAAAAUAAACCAAACUGAAAACAAGCAAAAGAAAGGAAAUACAAAAGAUUAGAACACAUGUCUGUGAAAUACAAAACACAAAAAUCAAUAAAACCAGAAAUUGGCUGUUUACCAGAUAAAGUUGACUAUCCCUUAGCUAGCAUCCCCAAGGAAGAGAGAAGAUAGAAUUUACCAAUAUCAGAAAUUAUAAAGGGCCACCCACAGAGAAAUUAAAGGAUUAUAAGAGAAUAUUAUGAACAACUUUAUGCCACAAAUUAGACAACUUAUAAGAUAUUGGCAAAUUCUUAGAUCCAAAUUUCCAAAACUGACUCAAAGAGAAAUAGAAAAUCUCCAUAGAUCUGUAACAAACAAGAAAAUUAAAUUAGUAAUUAAAACCCUUUCAGGGAAGAAAAGCCCAGAUUCGGAUGACUCAACUGGUGAAUUCCAUUGACUAUUAAUGGAGCAAAUAAUCCCAAUCUCCCACCAUCUAUUUCAGAAAAUAUCGAAGGAGAGAGCUGGUCUCACAUCAUUCUAUUAGGCCAGAGUUACCUUGAUUUCAAUGGCAAGUGAAGACAUCACAUGCAAAGACAAGACCACUAUCCCUCAUGAAUAUAAAUGAAAAAUCCUUAACGAUGUGUUAGUGAGUGAUGUCACCAAGAUGGGGGAGUAGGAGAGCUUAGCCUCUGUCCUCCCAGAAAGAUCAACAAUUAGACUGCUACCUACCCAUGAUCAAAAAGAGUUCUGGGAGAGCUCUAAAGCCCUCUUAAGAAACUUUAGCAACAUAGCAGAACAAAAAAUGUGAGGAUAACCACACAUAAAGAGAAAGAACAGCAGCUUCCUUUUGCCUGCAUCACCCCGUCCUUUAAGCUGGCAUUACUCAGUGCUAAGAGGGAACUCCUCAGCUAGAAAGAGCUCUCCUUUCAGGGAAAGAGAGAGCAGAGUGAACGACCAGCGUCCCAGCCUUUCAGGGCACACAUGAAGUACCCACUUUGGUUUCCCCCCACCCAGAGACUGGCAAAGCAGAGAGCUAUAGAGAUGGCUAGGGACAGGGAAGAAGAGCAGGGUUUACCAAUAUCGGGCACACAGCAGUAAAGACCACAGUUGUGUGACCUGUUCUAUAGAUAACCUCAUCGUGGAAGGGCAAGGGGAACAGUGCACUAAGAGAGAUACACAGCUAUGUGGGAGCAGGGGAGGAGCAGUCUCUGAACACGUUCCAGGAAAGGGGUCACCUUCCAUGCCAAGAUGAACUUUGCAUGAAUAAAGAUUUAAGUGAGGACAGACUGAGAAGAGUGAAGAGGGGAAUGGGGUGUCGACCAAAUUUCAUCCACCUGCAAUUUUACCUACUCAAAUUUUAUCUACCAUGGCAAGAAGUUAGUAUCUAAUAUUUUAAAAUUACUUUUAAAUACAAGUAUUCGUACUAGUUAUAUAAAUGGAGGUAAACACAAGAACAGCUAUGAUAGAAAUGGCUAAAGUGGUUUCCAUGGGGAAUGGAACUGGGGGGAUAGAAAGGACUGGGGUUGUGAGGUUGGGGAGGGCCUGUCACGGUUCUUUAUAAAGCCUUCAGUACUAUUUGAUUUUAAAGGCACAAGCAGGGAUUCCUUAGAUAAAUAUUAAUUUUUAAGUGAGUUUUAAGAAUGAGUAAGGUUUCUACAAGGAGAAACUUGUAGUUUCUCAGUUUACUUUUCCUGCCACUCUAGUGCCUACGACCACAGGGCGUGGGAAAGCCCUGGCCCCGGCUUCAGAGUGGCUGUGGCUUCACGGGAACAUGGAUGAUCUGUCCCUGUGGUACCACAGCAUCACGUCUGCCUGCGAUCCUGCUCUAAACCAGCAGCCUCUGUUACUGCCAGAAUCCCAGCAUCAUCCCCCCUGGCAGUUCUUCAUGCCAGGCCCCACCCACUGGACCAGACUCCUGAAAUGCUGAAAUGGACCUGAAUCCCUACUUUCUCCAUCCCUAGUUCAGCCUCCUCUUUCUAUACGUGGCCCACGUCAGCCUCUGGACAGCAUCCACGAUGCACUGAUGGUCUCCCACCAGAACUUAUUUGUACAUUUCUGCCUGUUCCUCCUUCACCCACUCUCUUCCUGCAGAAUGGCUUGGCUGCUCCUUGGAGCUCCUGCAGGAUCGAUGUAUCAGUUAGAGCAGCUCUAAGGAAACAUCUGGUGAGGGGGAAACAGGACUCACUCGAGGCAAUUACCAGACGUAGGAGGUACUGCCGAUUUCCACAACCAAAUAAUGCACUGCACCAAGCUCCAAGGUAGGAAAGGGCAGAGAUCCUAGAGCCAGGCUGCUGAGGUUGGAAUCCCUAUAACACCACUUACUAGCUGUGUGAUUUGGGGCUCUUGAUUGAACCUCUCUCUGUCUCAAUUUUCUAAUCUGUAAAAUGGGGCUACUAAUGGAUCAUGGAGGAUCCAAGCCGAAGAUACUGAAAUUGGUUAAGAGGUUCUUGCAUUAAUCCAGACAAAAGACAAUAAGGGUCUGAACUGAGGCAGUGACAGGGAGGAUGAAGCUGAGGAGACCGAAUUAGAAAGUUAUUUCGGAGGCUGAAUGGCACAAUUUGGUACCAAGUGACCAUGGGGGAUCAGGCAUGAGAAGAAGGGGACAGGUAGGAGGAGAGAGAAACCAUUUAAGUGUAGCUCCUAAUUUUUUUAUGAGGGUAGCUGAGUAAAUGUGGAUGCUAUUAACAUUGACAGUUCACAAAAGAGACUCAUAUUUUCUGUGUGUGGCAGGGAGGGGCAUAUUCCAGAGAUUUCUGUUGUAAUGAUGACAUAUCUCCUUUCAUUUUCAUCACCACACUGUGGUUCCGAUCCUCAGAUGAUGAAAGUAUGUCUGCAGCCUGACAUUUGUUACCUCACUUAAUCCUCACACCAGCCCCAUGAGGUAAACGUGCUGCUACUAUCUCUGUGAUGUAACAGGGUACUUGAGUCUCAGAGAGGUAAAGCAACUUGCCCAAGAUCACACAGCACCUUGGCUGGGAUUUAAAUCCAAGAGGAUUGGACUCCUUGAGCUAUCAGCCUUCCAGUAUUGCACACUGCCUCUCAAAUACACUCUUCCAGAGAGGCGUCCUAGAUAUUUUCAUCUGUGCAGUCCUCCUGCAUGAAAUAGUUCAGAUUCUUCUACCUAAUUUUCAUUUGAAACUCUCCUUGUAUACUCUAGAAUUUGUCCCAGCUGGUGAAAAGGUGUUUUACCAUAUUAUAUAUUUGUCACAGCUGCUCUAUAAACCUGCAUGUGUGCACUGUGUUGGCACGGUGUGGUUUCUGUGUCUAAUUACAGUGUUGAAAGCUACUACAUGCACAGAUAGAUAUGUAUAUAGAUUAGGAACACAGAACUGUUCCCCUUUCACAUAAAAGUGCAUGUGCUGUAGAGGAAGAAUAGCAUAUUUUUAACUCUUGAGCACUAUUUGCUUAGCUGAUAGCUAAGUGAAAUGAGGGGGUGUUAGAAAGCUGUGAAUAAUGUUCAAUAUGAAUAUUAUAGGUUACCUGGGAAAAAGGGGUUUUACAGUAUAAAAUGAUACUGCCAAAAUCCAGCAAAAGGCUUAAAAGUCCAAACCACUCUAAACAUUGAUUUGACUCAAUCGUGCAAGUUAGAACAUUCCAUUUCCCCAGAAAGAAGUCAUUCCUGAGAAAAACUGUGCAAAUGAAAUGUAAGAAGGAGAGAGAAGCAAAAGUAAGAUUGCAGAUCCACAAUGAACAGCGUCCACUUUCAUCUUUUGGGAAAUUUAUUUCUACUCCUCAAAAAAAGAGAGCCACAAAUAAUGGUUUUCCCGAUGAAACCACCCCAGCUGGAUCAUGCUAAAAAGCUUUCAGGAGGGAAGCAGUAAGUAAAUUCAACUGUUCAGAGGCAUUUGGAUGUCAUCCUAAAGCAGCAGCCCCAGUAAUCGCUGCGCCAUCAACAACUAAAAAGAUCCAGACUAUUAGAUGUGGACAACAGAGAAAUAAUGGAUGCUAAAGAGGUUGGAAACAGAAAUGAUGGCAUUCACCCACUACAUAGCUUCAAAGUGGAUGAGGGGGAAAUGGAGGCUCCAUUUUCUAACUACUGAACUAUUAAAACACACACACACACACACACACACAGACUGAUAAAUGCCAGUAUCAGUUUUAUCACGUAGGUGGUUAAACAGUCACUUUCUUCUUCAAUAUUUUGAAAUAUACAAGGACUUUGGUCUUCUACUAAUUUCAGAGUUGAAGAGGCAGGACGGCUUCCUUCUCUGCCAACGUGCAGACUGGGAAGAUGUGAUGCUGGGGCACCAAAGGUUCCAGAACCUUGGAGGCAGGAUGCUGGAACAUAAGGCAGGCAGGGACGCACAAAAUGUCUAUCCAUGAGCUUAAAGAAUUUUUGGAUAAGAACCAGUUCUGCUUCUCCAGCCAAGCUUUCGCUACUUGCCAAGAACAUUAUGCUUCGGUAGCCCAGUGAUUCUUGCAGUAAGGACCCACGAAGUCUGCUUACAUCAGAAUCAGCUGCAUCCCUUGUUGAAAUGCAGACGCCCAGGCCCCAACCUACUGAAGCAGAAUCUCUUGAGGUGGGGCAAGGAUUCUCAUGCCACUGUCCUUGAGACUUAGCAAGGUAAUUAAUGUGACCAGAUGUCGUGGUUUGACUGGGACAAUCCGAAAUUCCAAGAUCUUCGAAGUAUUAUGAUAUAGACUAGGGGUCCACAAACUACAGCCCAUGGACCGAAUUUGGCUGCCAUUUGUUUUUGUAAAUGGGUUUUAAUUGGAACACAGUCAUGUUCGUUCAUUUUUGUCUUUGGCUGUUUUGACCCUACAACAGCAAAGGUGGAUAGUUGCCACAGAGACUGUAUGGCAGGCAAAGUCUAAAAUAUUUACUAUCUGGCACUUUACAAAAAAAGCUGGUUCACUCCCAAUGUAGACCAAAGGUUUUCAACCAUUUCUGCACAUCAAAAUCAUGUAGGGAUUUUUAUAACACCACUUCCCCAGACCUAGUCCCAGAGUUUCUGAAUCAAUUGGCCUGGGGUAGGACUGGAUAUAGCUAUCAUUUAAAAGCCUGUUCAGGUGAUUCUAAUGCGUGGCCAGGAAGAGGCCAAUUGCUCUAAGGGAGACUGCACAUACUUUGGAACCAGGCUGAAAAGACUCUGCUCCAUAAUCCCUCCCUUCAUAAUCCGGCUGAGUGUCCUUGGGCAGCCCGUGUAACUUGCGUGAGUCUCAACUGCUUUAUCUGUAAAACAGAGCUACCAAUAGUCACUUUGUUGGGCGAGGUAUUAGGAAGAUGAGAGACUAUAUACGCACACCUCCCGAGACAGGGCUUAGCAUCCUGUGAGACUAAAUAAAUGGUACUGGCGGUGAUGAGGAGGAUGAUAAUGAUGAUAACCAUGAUGGAGGGUAAUGCCUAUGGCUUCAAUAAUGCAAUUGGAUAUACAUUCAUUAAGCACUGUCUGUGUGCUCUGGAAGGGGAAACCUUGAUAAAUAAGAUGUGAUGACCACCUGAAGGAGCUCACAGUCAAGUAAAACAAACAGGCACGUAAGAUAGUGACAGCAAGAGAAAAGAAAAACGGGCCAAGAAGAUGGAAAAACGAGUCACAAGAGAAACUAAAUUCUAAUAAAUAUAGACAAACAUGUAAACUUCAGCAAUAAUCAGGGAAAUGAAAAACAAAACUCGAAUGAGACAUUUUCUCCCAGCAAAUAGUCAAAUAUUAAAAAUAUCCCACCUUCACAGAAGCAUAAUUUUUACAGGCUUUUUAAAGGGUGAAUUGGCAGGUUAAAAUCUGCACACUUUUCAAAUGCUCUAUUUCCCUUCUAGGUAUGUAGUCUGGAGAAACACAUAUGCUCUAACAGACCUGUGUAGGAACUUUCACUGUGGCAUGGCUGCAGCAAUGUGAACCAUCUAAAUACCCAUAAGAUGGGGAAUGGCCAACUAAAUCUUCUUGCCUCCAUUCUAUCUAAUUCAAUGCUAAAGUAUUUUUUGAAGUGAUUUAAAUGCAUACCGGUACAAAACGGACAAUCACACAAAGUACUCUGUGUCAAAGAUGCAAAUCAUAGAAAAUGCCAGAACAUAGGUAUAAUAAAGCACACACAUGCACACUCAAAACAAAACUUUACUUUUUUAUCCAUGUAUGUGUAUGUAAAUCCCCAGACAAGAUUACUUCUGGAAAGGAAAGUUAGAUUUUGAGAGUAGCCUAGAGGAGAUCUUUCACUUACUAUAUUGUUUGAAUAUUUAAUAAAGUGAAUGUAUUCAUGUACUGCUUAUGUACAUCUUUUAAAAGAAAAAACCACCAGAUAAUAAUUGAAUGUAGUGAGUAUUAUUAGAGAAGUAUGUGUAAAGUAUGAUGGGGGAACCAAAAACAAUGCUGCUGGGGUGGGAUGGAGAGGAGGACGUGCCGCAGAGAUAGGGUAAUGCUGAGCUAGGCCUUGAAGGAGAAGAUGAUGGUGGCAUCCCAGAAAGAGAGGGGACCAUAUGCAGGGGCUCAGGGGCAUGGCAUGUAUGCUUUCAUUCAUUCAUCCCAUUAUUCACUCAACAAACAUUUGUGGAGUGUCACCUCUGAGCUCAGGAGUGUUUCAGGUGCUGGAGAGACAGCAGGGAACAGACAGACAAAGGUCCCUGCCCGCACGUUGCUUCUCUUCUAGUCUGUCUAGAUAGAUAACAUGCAAGAAACAAUCAAGAUGCAUAGUGUGACGGGGAGUGCUGUGCGGAGAAUAAUGCAGGGAAAGGAGGUGGGAGAUGCUGCGGUGGGAACGGGGUCCCCUACUUUAGUUGGGGUCACCAGAGAAGAUUGUGCUAGGAAGUAGCAUAAACAGAGAGCUGAAGGAGCUGAAAGAGCUAGCCAUGGUGACAACCAAGGGAAGAAUGUUCCAGCCACAAGGACAGCAGGUGCAGAGGACCCCAUGCAGGGCUGAGCUUGACGUGUCCCAGCAACCACCAGAAGGACAGCACGGCUGGAGUGGGUCAGCAAGAGGACAGAGAGACGGUGGAUGGAAGCUGGGAGGUGUCGUGCAAAGCUUUGUGAAAUGUGGAAAAGAUUUUAACUUUUCCUCUGGGCGGGGUAGGUGGGGGUGGGGAGCGGUCACUGGAGGCUGGGAAGUGGCUUGAUUCGUUAUAUGUUUCAAAGAUACCUUUGGAUGCUCGACUGAGAAGACUCCAGGGGGCGAACGUGGAGGCAGGGAGACAGUUGGGAGCCUCCGGCAUUUGCAGGGUCUGCUCAGGGCCUGGGCAGCUGAGUCACGGGGCGCUGGGUCACUACACACAGGGGUGGGAACACGGAAUCUCAACAGCACGUGGACAUCACUGGCCUCUUCCUCGGGUAGCAGCAUCCUGAUGCUCUUUGACCGACCUGCCUAUACCCUUGCAGGACCCAGAGGAAGAGUACAAAUGAAGGGCCAUAUACCACAUGCCCAGGGAUUUGAAAGUGAUAAAGCAAUCUAUUAAAGUGUCAUUUAAAAUAUGUACUAUCCUCCUAUCUUCAAAAUGACCCGGAAGGCCAAGUUCAAAUUUGGAAUCCUCUGACUUCUCAGAUUUUCUUGCCAGAAUAUAGCAGCAUGGGGAGAGCUGGCUCCUGGCUUAUGGCUCCCGGAUCCCUACCCUCCGCCUGUUCCCCACUUCUCUUCCUACUCCCAGCUCUGCCCAUCACUGUAGUGGCUUUUUGUACAUGUGUGAGUACAUCAUAACCUGCACAGUGAAAAUGGGUGGACAGCAGUCUUUACAUCCCCUCUGGCUUUCAUGUGCCAUGUGCCCUCGGGAGGACAGAUCCAGGGAAGAGCCAACUUGGGCAGGGAAGUCCAGGGUCUCCAUGACCAAGAGAAUGGUCCAGAAGGGAGGGUGCAGGUUGAGGUGGGCAAGUGCCCUUGGCCUGUGGCCUCCUUAUCCCGUGGGAAGACGUGAUGGGAGAAGGACUAGAGUGGAGACUUCUAGGGUGGAUGACUCAGUGCAGGGAUGUUUUCUGCAUGGGCUUAAGAAUGGCGCUGCCCUCCUCAAUCAAGCCGGCUGAGCUUAGGUCACUGCUCCUUACCCAAGGGACGUGGGACACUUUGGUUGGUAUUUCCUCUAAGAAGCUACACAAUGGUGGUGGGAGGUGGUUCUUAGGAAUUUAAAUCAUGAACGGAGGGGCUGAGGGAAAUGUCUUGGAGCUGGUUUGUACCAGCCACAGGGUCUUGAAGAGACUGUCGCUUAAGUCCUAUUCUCUGGAUUAUUGGAGGUCUCCUGGUUCCAGUCCUUUCUUAGGCUUCUUUGAUCAGCUAUGCCUUCCAUUCCAUGAGCUUUCUAAGGCUUGCACCAUUCAGAGAUAGUUACUGUGCCUGUAACCAAGAAACCCCACAAGAUGCAGGCUGUGUUACAAAGAAUUCCAUGUGCCACAUUAGGGUGGUUGAACUUUAGUCUGCAGAAAAUUGGAGGCUUUUAAACAGAGAGCUGGCUUUUUUUUUUUUUUCAAUGUCUCUAGAGAGACACAGAAGAUGGGCUGAAAGGGAAGAAACUCUGUCUGGCCUUCCUUGCUCCUCCAGCACUUCAAACGGUGGAUUAAACAGAGGCACCUAUUAUGAAAUAUAAGUUCAACUUCAAGAAAGAAAGAAGAAAUCUUCAGGGUAGGUAGGUGAGAGAGACACCAGGAGACUGGCGAUGAGCAAUUGAGCUCAUUUUCAGGCAAGAACAAAGAUUCAAGGCCGACUCCCAGGAAUUAGAGAUCGGGCAGUACAACAUCAAAUCCCAGUUCAAUUCUAGAAGACAUUAUAGAACAGAUGGUUUCUGAGCAGGGAGAAGCCAACGGAGGUUCAGUAUGACCAAGUCAUGCCAGACUCCUGUCAGCCCCAGCCUGCUCCUGUAUAGCUCCAUGAACUGGAAGUCUUCAGCAGUCAGAUGCAUAUUAGGUGCCUUGGCCUCACCACUAGUGCGGUCUUACUAACGCUGCCCUAAACUUGAUAUACGUGCCCUGAUUCCACUCAGUCAGCUUUUCCCUAAGCCUAUAAGGUCUCUUAGUCUCUUGCUGAAACCAUUAUCUAAGUCCACCUGUACAGGGUCUUGAAAUCCUGUUAAUCCCUUGCAAAGUUCUUCCUUGAGAAAACGCUCCCUUGAGAGACUGUCCUUGUGGUGGAUGUCUGCUGUCUCUCCAUGACCAGCAUCCACUUCCCCUUGUGCUGUAACAGCUUCGUAUCUGGCCUUGCUAAAGGACCCUUCCUCCACUCCCACUUCCGUGCUCAGCUCGGGGGAGCUCACUUUGUCUCCAGCCCUACAGCAUAUCUUUAUCAUAUGAGCAAGGAGCCGCCACUGAAGAGUUUUAGUAUGUCCCUAUGAGGACAGAGUCAAUGGCAGGAUGAUGUGAUCAGAGACGCAUCUGGGGAGAAUCCCUCUGGCUGCAGGGUGAGGAAGAAACUGCAUGCAAGAAGACCAGCCAGAAGACUGUGGGGAGUUUUGAGGAAAGAAAUGGCAGUUUGGACUAGCAUAUUGGCAGGAGGUGGAAGAGAAGUAGAUCGACUCGAGUGACUUUUAGGAAUUAAAGUCAACAGGCUGGUGAUGAAUUGGAGAUGGGGGAUGGAGGGAGAAAGAGAUGUCACAAAUGAUUCCUAAGUUUGCGCUUUGUGCAAGUGAAUGGAUCACGGUGACUUCACCGAAAGAGGGAAAUCAGAAAGAGAAGCAGACUCGAGGAAGGGAGUCAUGAAGAGCAUGGCUUCAGUUUGGAGUAUUUUGAAACACCUAAGAGAAAGUGUUAAGAGGCAAUUGGAUAUACAAAUAUGGAACACUGAGGAUGUAUCUGAGUUGGAAAUAUUAACUUGCCAGUCCACAUAGAAAGCCAAAGAUGUGCAUUGUAUCAGUGAGGGGAGAAGAGUGAGCCAGAGACCAACCUCAUAACUGUCCCCUCUGUGUUCCCUCCGACAACUCUCUCUUUCCAUCUUACAUUUAUGCUCUUGGUUUUUCUACCUCUCAAAAUGCAUGCACCCAUGACUUGUUCCUACUUAAACCCAAUCAUUCCCCCCCUGCUAAUUUCUGCAGAUGGUAUUUUGACUUUGUUAAAUAUUUUUCAUGGCAGAAUCAUAGCAAUGCCUUGCAUAGAGAUGGCAAAAGAGAUCUGGGCAGACGAUGAGGCUAAUUCUAUUUUGUCUUUUAUUGGUUCUUGAAAUGGAGACACCAGGCAUCUGGAAUCUGAAACCCUGUACUCUAUGCGUCCAGACCUCCUAUUCCAUACUUCAUGAAGCAUCUCCAGUUUGGGAGAUUACACAUUAGGACAGGAAUGGAUGAACUAGUUUAUGUCCUGUGGACAAGGGUCCGGCACAGAGAGCAGGCUGGAAGCCAUGCAGGAUGGGGAGCAAGGGGCUGGAACCGUGGCCGAGUGGUUAAGUUCACGCACUCCGCUGCAGGAAGCCCAGUGUUUCGUUGGCUCGAAUCCUGGACGUGGACAUGGCACUGCUCAUCAAACCACGCUGAGGCAGCGUCCCACAUGCCACAACUAGAAGGACCCACAACGAAG
rnacentral:lncRNA from 1 species